AUUGAACGCUGGCGGCAUGCCUUACACAUGCAAGUCGAACGGUAACAGGUCUUCGGAUGCUGACGAGUGGCGAACGGGUGAGUAAUACAUCGGAACGUGCCCGAUCGUGGAGGAUAACGAGGCGAAAGCUUUGCUAAUACCGCAUACGAUCUACGGAUGAAAGCGGGGGAUCUUCGGACCUCGCGCGGACGGAGCGGCCGAUGGCAGAUUAGGUAGUUGGUGGGAUAAAAGCUUACCAAGCCGACGAUCUGUAGCUGGUCUGAGAGGAUGAUCAGCCACACUGGGACUGAGACACGGCCCAGACUCCUACGGGAGGCAGCAGUGGGGAAUUUUGGACAAUAGGCGAAAGCCUGAUCCAGCCAUGCCGCGUGCAGGAUGAAGGCCUUCGGGUUGUAAACUGCUUUUGUACGGAACGAAAAGCCUCUUUCUAAUAAAGAGGGGUCAUGACGGUACCGUAAGAAUAAGCACCGGCUAACUACGUG
rnacentral:rRNA from 1 species